UAGGGAAUCUUCCACAAUGGACGAAAGUCUGAUGGAGCAACGCCGCGUGAGUGAAGAAGGUUUUCGGAUCGUAAAGCUCUGUUGUCGGUGAAGAAGGAUAGAGGCAGUAACUGGUCUUUAUUUGACGGUAAUCAACCAGAAAGUCACGGCUAACUACGUGCCAGCAGCCGCGGUAAUACGUAGGUGGCAAGCGUUGUCCGGAUUUAUUGGGCGUAAAGCGAGCGCAGGCGGAAUGAUAAGUCUGAUGUGAAAGCCCACGGCUCAACCGUGGAACUGCAUCGGAAACUGUCAUUCUUGAGUGCAGAAGAGGAGAGUGGAACUCCAUGUGUAGCGGUGGAAUGCGUAGAUAUAUGGAAGAACACCAGUGGCGAAGGCGGCCCCCUGGACAAAGACUGACGCUCAGGUGCGAAAGCGUGGGGAGC
rnacentral:rRNA from 1 species